UACGUAGGUGGCAAGCGUUGUCCGGAUUUACUGGGCGUAAAGGAUGCGUAGGCGGACAUUUAAGUCAGAUGUGAAAUACCCGAGCUUAACUUGGGUGCUGCAUUUGAAACUGGGUGUCUAGAGUGCAGGAGAGGUAAGUGGAAUUCCUAGUGUAGCGGUGAAAUGCGUAGAGAUUAGGAAGAACACCAGUGGCGAAGGCGGCUCUCUGGAACGCAACUGACGCUGAGACGCGAAAGCGUGGGGAGCAAACAGG
rnacentral:rRNA from 1 species